rnacentral:tRNA from 1 species
AUAUAUAUAGUUUAAUAAAAACACAUCAUUUUCAUUGAUAUAUUAGACUAAAUCUUAUAUAUA